CAACUACUCCCUUCGUUCUGAAUUAUUUGUCAUGGGUAUGGAUGUAUCUAGAUGUAUUUUAGUUCUAGAUACAUCCAUUUCUGCGACGAGUAAUUUGGAACGGAGGGAGUAGUUA
rfam:Triticum aestivum genome assembly, contig: Triticum_aestivum_CS42_TGACv1_scaffold_485884_6AS